ACAGGAUUGAGUGGAAAACAAUCGUUAUAUCACGCAUUUCCCGAACAAAUGUAUGGUAAAACAUGGUUUUAUAGGUAUAUUAACAUCCAGUAUGACAGUUUAUAGUUCCGUUGUAUUGACAAAAUUGGGCAAGUAACUCAAUCAGACAUAAAAAGGUUCAUAUUCAGGACAUACAUCACAUACACACAACACAAAUCAACUGACUAAAAAAUUCAAACAAACAAAUAAAAUCCAACAUAGACGCCAACAAAUAAGUCGUAGUUAAACGGUUGAAAGGACGUUUAAGUAAUAAGAGGACUGGGUUGUCAAUUGUAAAUUGUUUCCACUAUUUUUUCUCUCUGAAAUGUUUAUUUUCAUAUUUGUAAGAUCUGUUUUCUAUUUGAGCAAGAUUUUUGGUUUAGAAAGAGACAAUAAUAUGCUAAUGUUUGAAUAGAAACUUGUGCUUAGGAUAUAAGAUCUAACUGCGUGACUAAAGUAAAGCUACCUCAAUAAGAAGUUUAAAUGUCCCUUUACACAUUGUUGCUACAAUAUAAUAUUGGCAAAAGUACUUUGCUGACCUUUUAAAAAACAGAAACACAAUUUAAAAAUUGAUAAUCGACUGAUUACUUUGAUAUAGAGCAGACUCAUUUUUUCUUUUCGAUUCCGAUAUUUGACGGGCUGGUAAUUAAUAAAAAAAAAAAAAAAAACAAAACAAAAUAGCAAUAAACAUUCUUUUCAUGUACGUGCGGUGUAAUGCAUGUUUGUCCUCGAGUCGGCUUUGUUUUUUCUUUGUUUUUUCCAUAAGCGAAUGAUAAUAUUAACCCUUGAAAUGCUUACAGCGACAAUGAAUUACGAAAUUUCGUUAUAGCAGCUAGACGAAAGUGCGUAGUCUUCUCUUUUUUAACUUUAAGAUAUACUUUUUGCUUACUGAACUAUUGAAAAAAGAACAUGAAAACCAUAAAACUGGUCUAUUUUCACUGGCAGUAUUUGUUGUAUUAUGAAGACAAUUUGGUCUAAUGAAAAAAAAUAUGAUAUUGACUUCUAACCGACUCAAUAUACUUCAGUAUUAUUUGCGUGUUUUAAGAUUUCAUUUCUUAAUCAAACAUAAAUAACCACUGCGCC
rnacentral:lncRNA from 1 species